CCUUUGACGUUAGCGGCGGACGGGUGAGUAACACGUGGGUAACCUACCUAUAAGACUGGGAUAACUUCGGGAAACCGGAGCUAAUACCGGAUAAUGUUUCGAACCGCAUGGUUCGAUAGUGAAAGGUGGUUUUGCUAUCACUUAUAGAUGGACCCGCGCCGUAUUAGCUAGUUGGUAAGGUAACGGCUUACCAAGGCGACGAUACGUAGCCGACCUGAGAGGGUGAUCGGCCACACUGGAACUGAGACACGGUCCAGACUCCUACGGGAGGCAGCAGC
rnacentral:rRNA from 1 species